CCUACGGGAGGCUGCAGUGGGGAAUAUUGGACAAUGGGCGAAAGCCUGAUCCAGCCAUGCCGCGUGUGUGAAGAAGGCCUUCGGGUUGUAAAGCACUUUCAGUGGGGAAGAAAGCCCUGGGGCUAAUACCCUCGAGGAAGGACAUCACCCACAGAAGAAGCACCGGCUAACUCCGUGCCAGCAGCCGCGGUAAUACGGAGGGUGCGAGCGUUAAUCGGAAUUACUGGGCGUAAAGCGCGCGUAGGCGGUCUGAUAAGCCGGUUGUGAAAGCCCCGGGCUCAACCUGGGAACGGCAUCCGGAACUGUCAGGCUAGAGUGCAGGAGAGGAAGGUAGAAUUCCCGGUGUAGCGGUGAAAUGCGUAGAGAUCGGGAGGAAUACCAGUGGCGAAGGCGGCCUUCUGGACUGACACUGACGCUGAGGUGCGAAAGCGUGGGUAGCAAACAGGAUUAGAUACCCUAGUAGUC
rnacentral:rRNA from 1 species